rnacentral:rRNA from 1 species
AGUGGCGGACGGGUGAGUAACGCGUAAGAAUCUAACUUCAGGACGGGGACAACAGUGGGAAACGACUGCUAAUACCCGAUGUGCCGCGAGGUGAAACCUAAAUGGCCUGAAGAAGAGCUUGCGUCUGAUUAGCUAGUUGGUGGGGUAAGAGCCUACCAAGGCGACGAUCAGUAGCUGGUCUGAGAGGAUGAGCAGCCACACUGGGACUGAGACACGGCCCAGACUCCUACGGGAGGCAGCAGUGGGGAAUUUUCCGCAAUGGGCGAAAGCCUGACGGAGCAACGCCGCGUGAGGGAGGAAGGUCUUUGGAUUGUAAACCUCUUUUCUCAAGGAAGAAGUUCUGACGGUACUUGAGGAAUCAGCCUCGGCUAACUCCGUGCCAGCAGCCGCGGUAAUACGGGGGAGGCAAGCGUUAUCCGGAAUUAUUGGGCGUAAAGCGUCCGCAGGUGGUCAGCCAAGUCUGCCGUCAAAUCAGGUUGCUUAACGACCUAAAGGCGGUGGAAACUGGCAGACUAGAGAGCAGUAGGGGUAGCAGGAAUUCCCAGUGUAGCGGUGAAAUGCGUAGAGAUUGGGAAGAACAUCGGUGGCGAAAGCGUGCUACUGGGCUGUAUCUGACACUCAGGGACGAAAGCUAGGGGAGCGAAAGGGAUUAGAUACCCCUGUAGUCCUAGCCGUAAACGAUGGAUACUAGGCGUGGCUU